ACCUGAGUGGCUCAGUCGGUUGAGCAUCCGACUUCGGCUCAGGUCAUGAUCUCACAGUUCGUGGGUUUAAGUCCCAUGUCGGGCU
rnacentral:tRNA from 1 species